UGCACUUCGUGGAUAAGCUUGGGAAACUGGGUCUAAUACCGGAUAUGACUGCGAAUCGCAUGGUUUGUGGUGGAAAGCUUUUGCGGUGUGGGAUGGGCCCGCGGCCUAUCAGCUUGUUGGUGGGGUGAUGGCCUACCAAGGCGACGACGGGUAGCCGGCCUGAGAGGGUGACCGGCCACACUGGGACUGAGAUACGGCCCAGACUCCUACGGGAGGCAGCAGUGGGGAAUAUUGCACAAUGGGCGCAAGCCUGAUGCAGCGACGCCGCGUGAGGGAUGACGGCCUUCGGGUUGUAAACCUCUUUCAGCACAGACGAAGCGCAAGUGACGGUAUGUGCAGAAGAAGGACCGGCCAACUACGUGCCAGCAGCCGCGGUAAUACGUAGGGUCCGAGCGUUGUCCGGAAUUACUGGGCGUAAAGAGCUCGUAGGUGGUUUGUCGCGUUGUUCGUGAAAACUCACAACUCAAUUGUGGGCGUGCGGGCGAUACGGGCAGACUGGAGUACUGCAGGGGAGACUGGAAUUCCUGGUGUAGCGGUGGAAUGCGCAGAUAUCAGGAGGAACACCGGUGGCGAAGGCGGGUCUCUGGGCAGUAACUGACGCUGAGGAGCGAAAGCGUGGGGAGCGAACAGGAUUAGAUACCCUGGUAGUCCACGCCGUAAACGGUGGGGUACUAGGUGUGGGGUUUCCUUCCUUGGGGAUCCGUGCCGUAGCUAACGCAUUAAGUACCCCGCCUGGGGGAGUACGGCCGCAAGGCUAAAACUCAAAGAAAUUGACGGGGGCCCG
rnacentral:rRNA from 1 species